rnacentral:rRNA from 1 species
UGGGGAAUAUUGGACAAUGGGCGAAAGCCUGAUCCAGCAAUGCCGCGUGUGUGAAGAAGGCCUUAGGGUUGUAAAGCACUUUAAGCAGGAAAGAAGGGGGUUGUGUUAAUACCAUAACCUUUUGACGUUACCUGCAGAAUAAGCACCGGCUAACUCCGUGCCAGCAGCCGCGGUAAUACGGAGGGUGCGAGCGUUAAUCGGAAUUACUGGGCGUAAAGCGUAUGUAGGCGGUUUGAUCAGUCGGAUGUGAAAUCCCCGAGCUUAACUUGGGAAUGGCAUUCGAAACUAUCAAGCUAGAGUAGGCUAGAGGAAAGGGGAAUUCCGCGUGUAGCAGUGAAAUGCGUAGAUAUGCGGAGGAACACCAAUGGCGAAGGCACCUUUCUGGGGUCAUACUGACGCUGAGAUACGAAAGCGUGGGGAGCAAACA